rnacentral:rRNA from 1 species
AGCAGGCAGAUCCAUUUUCUGCCACCGAAUACAUUAGCAUGGGAUAAUGGAAUAGGACCCUGUCCUCCUAUUUUCAGUUGGUUUUGGCAGCGCGAGGACUAGGGUAAUGAUUAAUAGGGAUAGUUGGGGGCAUUAAUAUUUAAUUGUCAGAGGUGAAAUUCUUGGAUUUAUGAAAGAUUAACUUCUGCGAAAGCAUCUGCCAAGGAUGUUUUCAUUAAUCAAGAACGAGGGUUAGGGGAUCGAAGACGAUCAGAUACCGUCGUAGUCUUAACCAUAAACGAUGCCGACCAGCGAUUAGGAGACGUUGAAUACAAAACACCACCAUCGGGGCGGUCGUCCUUGGCGUUCGGUCUUGCCGAAGGCCGGGCGCGGUGGUGGCUUAGCCCGGCGUGACCCGUGAAUGACUCCGCUAGAAGCUUGUGAGAA